rnacentral:rRNA from 1 species
AUUGAACGCUGGCGGCAGGCCUAACACAUGCAAGUCGAACGAGUGGCGGACGGGUGAGUAAUGUCUGGGAAACUGCCUGAUGGAGGGGGAUAACUACUUGAAACGGUAGCUAAUACCGCAUACCAUCAGAUGUGCCCAGAUGGGAUUAGCUUUUUGGUGGGGUAACAGCUCACCAAGGCGACGAUCCCUAGCUGGGCUGAGAGGCUGACCAGCCACAUUGGAACUGAGACACGGUCCAGACUCCUACGGGAGGCAGCAGUAGGGAAUAUUGCACAAUGGGCGAAAGCCUGAUGCAGCCAUGCCGCGUGUAUGAAGAAGGCCUUCGGGUUGUAAAGUACUGUCGGUGGGGAGGCGGUAACCGAACAAGAAGCAACGGCUAACUCCGUGCCAGCAGCCGCGGUAAUAC